rnacentral:rRNA from 1 species
GCUAGCAGCCAUAUCACCCUGAAACUCACAAUUGGCAACCCACUGAAGCUAAGCAGGUAUGAGCCUGGUCAGUACCAGGAUGGGAGACCUCCUGGGAAGGUUGCUGCUGGAA